CAGUUUUACAGGACUGUUCUGUAGAAGGUUGCACUAAGGACAUAGGUGCUUUGUAGAAGAUUCCAUCCUUGGGUAACUAUUCCUGCUUGGCACUUCUCCAGCUGCAAGGGGGUCACAGAAGAGAGUAAGUCAAAUUGCCAGAACUGAGUUUCCCACUGCCAGAGGUGAAAGGAGAGAGCUUCACUUUCCCCACCAGAGGAUAGCUGGAUGUCCACCACCACUAUGCCACCCAACAAAAGGAAUUUGGUGGGCUGGUCUUCAGGAUCAGAAGCAGAGGGGGAAAAAUAAUAGUUAUCGGAUAUUGCAGUUCUCUGGCUGCUCUGCUGUGUGUGCUGAAAUGGUCCAAGUUUCUUCAGGACCAAAGACAAAU